rnacentral:lncRNA from 1 species
GCAAAAGACUUUGAAAGCAUAAAACGGUGUGGAAGUUUGAAGCAUGAUGCUGUCUCCCUUUGCCCAGCUGAAGGCAGAAUGUGCUAAAGUGUGGAAAAAACAUGGCAGAUGGGGAAGAGUCAUACCAGAAAAGUAAAAGCAGCAACAGCCACAAAUAAAAGCUAAUGUUGUUUGGGAAAAUGAUGCAAGUGGUUACUGACCAAAUUUUUGGAGAAGUAUCUAACACUACUGGAUUUCACAGGAAAAAGAAGGGAAAAAAGCAUCCUACAUGA